rnacentral:rRNA from 1 species
GAUGAACGCUGGCGGCGUGCCUAAUACAUGCAAGUCGAGCGAAAACACGAGGAGCUUGCUCCCCUGACGUUAGCGGCGGACGGGUGAGUAACACGUGGAUACCCUCCCUAUAAGACUGGGUUAACUUCGGGAAACCGGGGCUAAUACCGGAUAUAUUAUUGAACCGCAUGGUUCAAUAGUUAAAGACGGUUUUGCUGUCACUUAUAGAUGGAUCCGCGCCGAAUUAGCUAGUAGGUAAGGUAACGGCUUACCAAGGCAACGAUGCGUAGCCGACCUGAGAGGGUGAUCGGCCAGAUGGGAACUGAGAAACGGUCCAGACACCGGAGGGAGGAAGCAGUAGAGAAUCUUCCGGAAGGGGGGAAAGCCUGACGGUGCAAAGCGGGGGGAAGGAUGAAGGUGCACGGACGGGAGAACGCUGAAAGUAUGGAAGUAGUAAUGUGUAAUUAAAAGUGCGCGAUUUGACGGUACCUAAUCAGAAAGCCACGGCUAACUACGUG